rnacentral:piRNA from 1 species
AAAAGUAGCCAAUUGUUGUAUAUGC